ensembl:snRNA U6 U6 spliceosomal RNA
UUGCUUCAGUAGCACAUAUACUAAAAUUGAAACAAUACAGAGAAGAUUAGCAUGGCCUCUGUGUAAGGAUGACAUGCAAAUUUGCGAAGCAUUCCAUAUGUUU